GAAUAUUGUUAUGGUGCGUUAUUUAUGCGUCAAAUAUAUUUUCCAAUUAGGUAUAUUUUCAACCUUUAGGCUUCUGGUUCAAAUUAUAUUAACGCUACCGUAACACAAAUAGCAUGAAACCUUAUACCUUUUAUAUAUUUUAUUUACUUUCAACAAUAUGAAUUAGCGUCUCUAUAAUGUUAUAAUAAUAUAGUAAUCUUAAUAUAUCAACUUAUCUCUCUAUUUGUUUGAGCUGAGCACAACUUUGAAUCUUUAUUCUUUAUACUUUGUAUUCCGUCUUCUUUAAUAAUAAUUAUUCCCCAAUAUUCCAAUGUUCUUCAGUUUACUUGACGAGGCUUAAUUAUCUAGCCUUUUAAUUAUAUACUUCAGCCUUUGUUGGCUUAUGAAGUAUUUUAGCCUAAAUGGCUCUUCUCACUUCACUCUCCCCUCCCGACUCUCAGGUUGUGCCCAGCUUUUAUAAUAAAUUUUAGAGGAAGAAAUCUGUAACUAUGACUAAUUUCCUCUACGCAAUAUGUUUGUCAAAGCAAGUUCUUGCAGUGUUUAUCAACCACAAAACUAUGUCCUGUUUGCGUGGUUUGUGGUACUAGGCGUUUCCCGUGGUUCUUUAAUCUCUCUAACUAUUUGCUUAUUCAUGCGAGGAAGGUUGCCUAAGGUCUUCCUCUUAUAAUUAUAACAGUAUACUGAAUAUAUAGUAUUGAAUAUAGUAUUGAAUAUAUUAAAUAACAUGGUAUAACACUGCCAUGUUACAAUAUAUAUAUAUAUAUAUAUAUA